UACAGGGGGUGCAAACGUUGCUCGGAAUCAUUGGGCGUAAAGCGCACGUAGGCGGUUUGUUAUGUCGGACGUGAAAGCCCUUGGCUCAACUGAGGAAGUGCAUCCGAAACUGGCAAGCUAGAGUACUAAAGAGGGUCGCGGAAUUCCCGGUGUAGAGGUGAAAUUCGUAGAUAUCAGGAGGAACACCGGUGGCGAAGGCGGGUCUCUGGGCCGUAACUGACGCUGAGGAGCGAAAGCAUGGGGAGCGAAGCAGG
rnacentral:rRNA from 1 species